rnacentral:snoRNA from 1 species
AUUCUAUGAUGAGGGCACUUCCAUAAUAAUUCUUUAUACAUUUCCCAUGCCUCAUACAAUGACUCAUCAUCCAUUUUUUGGAAAACAAUGAUCUCGUUCCUCAACUU